rnacentral:rRNA from 1 species
UAGGGAAUAUUGGGGCAAUGGGCGCAAGCCUGACCCAGCAACGCCGCGUGAGGGAAGAAGGUUUUCGGAUUGUAAACCUCUGUCCUAUGUGACGAAGGAAGUGACGGUAGCAUAGGAGGAAGCCCCGGCUAACUACGUGCCAGCAGCCGCGGUAAUACGUAGGGGGCGAGCGUUGUCCGGAAUUAUUGGGUGUAAAGGGUGCGUAGACGGGAAGAUAAGUUAGUUGUGAAAUCCCUCGGCUUAACUGAGGAACUGCAACUAAAACUGUUUUUCUUGAGUGCAGGAGAGGUAAGUGGAAUUCCUAGUGUAGCGGUGAAAUGCGUAGAUAUUAGGAGGAACACCAGUGGCGAAGGCGACUUACUGGACUGUAACUGACGUUGAGGCACGAAAGUGUGGGGAGCAAACAGGAUUAGAUACCCUGGUAGU